AAAGAUGCUUGGGAAGUUGCACGUGACUCGUUGUUUCUGGAGAAGAAGCUGGGGCAGGGGUGUUUCGCUGAAGUGUGGCUUGGUAAGGCAGAGGGCACAUUCUGUUUUGGCUGCAUCUCAGAGCCAAUGAAAAGGACAGUUCUGAACAGAAAUGCGUAUGUGACCACUGGGAAAAAGCCCCUAAAUCUUUGUAACUAGAUGGGCCGAAGCCAUCUAGGUCUGCAGAAUCCAGUGGCACUGCGCUAUGUUCAUCUGUCCUAUUUCACGUGGUUAGUCACCUGCAGAACGGACGGGAAGCCAGUGAUGCUGGUGCUUUCUCUUCCUGUGAAAUGGGAUGGUAAGAUGCUGUGCGAGAGCUGCUGUAGAACAAGGCCCCGGGCUUUCUGCGCACCAAGCCUGGUCUAAACCCUCGCUAGAUGACUAA
rnacentral:lncRNA from 1 species